rnacentral:rRNA from 1 species
UACGAAAGGGGCUAGCGUUUUUCGGAAUUACUGGGCGUAAAGCGCACGUAGGCGGCUUGGUAAGUUGGGGGUGAAAUCCCAGGGCUCAACCCUGGAACUGCCUCCAAAACUGCUAGGCUAGAGGAUGCGAGAGGUUGGCGGAAUUCCGAGUGUAGAGGUGAAAUUCGUAGAUAUUCGGAAGAACACCAGUGGCGAAGGCGGCUCACUGGCGCAGUACUGACGCUGAGGUGCGAAAGCGUGGGGAGCAAACAGG